AGGCAGCCCCACGGGGUCAUGAAAAAAGAAAGGGAUGAGCUGCAAGCGUGGGAAGGGUGGUCUGCCUGCAAGCGGACCAUCUGCGAGGAGGAGGAAACAGCAGGAAGAGGAGAUGGUGCUGCAACAACCUGAGCUCCUCUCGGGAGCCUGGAAAUGUUCCGCCUCUCCCUCCCUCCCGGGGAGGGGUGUCCUUCCAGGACUGCCAUGCAUUCAGGCUCUGCCCGUGGCCCCUACGCCGAGUCAGCGCAAGCCCUACCCGUCCAAAGGUGCCGUCUCAGGAGGGAGAGGUGCCAGCUUUCGCCAGGUUAACCCCUUGGGAAGACUGUGGAGGAGGGGGCUCCAGCCCGGGUGUGACGAGCAUUUUACACUGUGAGCUUUCUGUAUUGGUUCUUUUGUACAUUUUCCCGGCCUGCUGCAGGGACAGCGUCCAAUCUGGAGUAGGGCCACUUCAGUAAGGAACAAGAAGAGGCGCUUGGAAUAAAACCCAGACUCCUCACCACGGCCCUGGAGACCUUACCUGUGAGGGCCCUGCUUGCUCCCCCGGCCCCCCUCACUCCACCCCCCGGAGCUCAGUGCUGUAGCCCCUCUGGCCUUCCUUCUAUCCUCAGACACGCCAGCCUCAUGCCUGUCUCCGGGCGGUGCACCUGCUGCACCUCACAGGGUCGCCUGGUCUCACCAUUUACAUCUCAGGCCACCGGGCCUCCAUCCCUGAACCAAAAUUUGCCUUUAUGCCCCUGCCAUGUGCCUUUGUUUGAUCCCAUUACCCCAUUUUACUUUAUUCAUAAAAUCUGUCAUUUCUCAUACU
rnacentral:lncRNA from 1 species